UCAGGAUGAACGCUAGCGGCAGGCCUAAUACAUGCAAGUCGAACGAGAUUAAGGGGCUUGCUCCUUAUGAAAGUGGCGCACGGGUGCGUAACGCGUAUGCAACCUACCUCAAUCAGGGGGAUAGCCCGAAGAAAUUCGGAUUAACACCGCAUAAAAACACAGUACAGCAUUGUACAAUGUUCAAAUAUUUAUAGGAUUGAGAUGGGCAUGCGUGUCAUUAGCUAGUUGGCGGGGUAACGGCCCACCAAGGCGACGAUGACUAGGGGAUCUGAGAGGAUGACCCCCCACACUGGUACUGAGACACGGACCAGACUCCUACGGGAGGCAGCAGUAAGGAAUAUUGGUCAAUGGAGGCAACUCUGAACCAGCCAUGCCGCGUGCAGGAAGACAGCCCUCUGGGUCGUAAACUGCUUUUAUUCGGGAAUAAACCUUAUUACGUGUAAUAAGCUGAAUGUACCGAAGGAAUAAGGAUCGGCUAACUCCGUGCCAGCAGCCGCGGUAAUACGGAGGAUCCAAGCGUUAUCCGGAUUUAUUGGGUUUAAAGGGUGCGUAGGCGGCUUAUUAAGUCAGGGGUGAAAGACGGUGGCUCAACCAUCGCAGUGCCUUUGAUACUGAUGAGCUUGAAUGAACUAGAGGUAGGCGGAAUGUGACAAGUAGCGGUGAAAUGCAUAGAUAUGUCACAGAACACCGAUUGCGAAGGCAGCUUACUAUGGUUUUAUUGACGCUGAGGCACGAAAGCGUGGGGAUCAAACAGGAUUAGAUACCCUGGUAGUCCACGCCCUAAACGAUGAAUACUCGCUGUUAGCGAUAUACAGUUAGCGGCUAAGCGAAAGCGUUAAGUAUUCCACCUGGGGAGUACGCCCGCAAGGGUGAAACUCAAAGGAAUUGACGGGGGCCCGCACAAGCGGAGGAGCAUGUGGUUUAAUUCGAUGAUACGCGAGGAACCUUACCCGGGCUUGAAAGUUAGUGAAUUAUCUAGAGAUAGAUAAGUGAGCAAUCACACGAAACUAGGUGCUGCAUGGCUGUCGUCAGCUCGUGCCGUGAGGUGUUGGGUUAAGUCCCGCAACGAGCGCAACCCCUAUGUUUAGUUGCCAGCACGUUAAGGUGGGGACUCUAAACAGACUGCCUGUGCAAACAGAGAGGAAGGAGGGGACGACGUCAAGUCAUCAUGGCCCUUACGUCCGGGGCUACACACGUGCUACAAUGGAUGGUACAGAGGGCAGCAAGCUGGCAACAGCAAGCAAAUCUCAAAAAGCCAUUCACAGUUCGGAUAGAGGUCUGCAACUCGACCUCUUGAAGUUGGAUUCGCUAGUAAUCGCGUAUCAGCAAUGACGCGGUGAAUACGUUCCCGGGCCUUGUACACACCGCCCG
rnacentral:rRNA from 1 species